rnacentral:hammerhead_ribozyme from 1 species
GGGUUGCUGAGGAGUCCCACAAUAGGACGAAACGGCCGUUCAAUGC